GAUGAAGAACGUAGCGAAAUGCGAUAAGUAGUGUGAAUUGCAGAAUUCAGUGAAUCAUCGAAUCUUUGAACGCACAUUGCGCCCCAUGGUAUUCCGUGGGGCAUGCCUGUUCGAGCGUCAUUUACCCCCUCAAGCUCCGCUUGGUGUUGGGCGUCUGUCCCGCUUCGCGCGCGGACUCGCCCCAAAGGUAUUGGCAGCGGUCGUGCCAGCUUCUCGCGCAGCACAUUGCGCUUCUCGAGGCACCGGUGGGCCCGCGUCCAUCAAGCUCACACCCCAGUUUGACCUCGGAUCAGGUAGGGAUACCCGCUGAACUUAAGCAUAUCAAUAAGCGGAGGA
rnacentral:misc_RNA from 1 species